GAUGAACGCUGGCGGCGUGCCUAAUACAUGCAAGUCGAGCGAAGCUUGGACGCUUGCGUAACACUUGUAUAACCUCCUAUCUGACUGGUAUAACUUCGUGAACCCGGCUCUAAACCGGCUACUUAUAUCUGGAUCCGAGCUGCAUUAGCUAGUUGGUAAGGUAACGGCUUACCAAGGCAACGCUGAAUAGCCGACCUGAGAGGGUGUUCGGCCACACUGGAACUGAGACACGGUCCAGACUCCUCAGGGAGGCAGCAGUGGGGAAUCUUCCUGAAUGGGCGAAAGCCUGACGGAGCAACGCCGCGUGAGUGAUGAAGGUCUUCGGAGCGUAAACCUCUGUUAUUAGGGAAGCGGGACCUAAAGAGAAAGCCACGGCUAACUACGUGCCAGCAGCCGCGGUAAUUG
rnacentral:rRNA from 1 species